CCUACGGGUGGCUGCAGUGGGGAAUAUUGGACAAUGGGCGAAAGCCUGAUCCAGCCAUGCCGCGUGUGUGAAGAAGGCCUUCGGGUUGUAAAGCACUUUCAGUGGGGAAGAAAGCCUUGGGGCUAAUACCCUCGAGGAAGGACAUCACCCACAGAAGAAGCACCGGCUAACUCCGUGCCAGCAGCCGCGGUAAUACGGAGGGUGCGAGCGUUAAUCGGAAUUACUGGGCGUAAAGCGCGCGUAGGCGGUCUGAUAAGCCGGUUGUGAAAGCCCCGGGCUCAACCUGGGAACGGCAUCCGGAACUGUCAGGCUAGAGGGCAGGAGAGGAAGGUAGAAUUCCCGGUGUAGCGGUGAAAUGCGUAGAGAUCGGGAGGAAUACCAGUGGCGAAGGCGGCCUUCUGGACUGACACUGACGCUGAGGUGCGAAAGCGUGGGUAGCAAACAGGAUUAGAUACCCUUGUAGUC
rnacentral:rRNA from 1 species